rnacentral:lncRNA from 1 species
GACAAACGAGAUUCUACCCAUGUCAGCAAAUUGGAGAUUGCAGUUCUUCAAACCUGAGUGUUAGGUGUCUCAGAGCAAUAUGGAUUGCAGACAAAGGAUUUUACUGAAACUUGAGAUCUGAAUUAAAAACCAGCGUUAGAAGUUAAUUUACGACUCUAAAGAUAAUGAGAAGCUCAGAGAGGCUCACCCACCUCCUGAGUUAUACAUGGACAUUUUGAGGCAGGUGGCAGGGGGUGCAGUACUGAGGCCCAGGACCAUGGAGGCAUCUCUUAAUUGUGAAAC